rnacentral:rRNA from 1 species
UACGAAGGGGGGCUAGCGUUGCUCGGAAUACUGGGCGUAAAGCGCACGCAGGCGGUCUGCUAAGUUUGGAGUGACAGUUGGUGGCUUAACUGCCAAAGUGCUUCGAAAAACUGACAGACUUGAGGGCUUCAGAGGGACACGGAAUUCCGGGUGGAGUGGUGAAAUGCGUAGAGAUUGGAAAGAACACCGAUGGCGAAGGCACUUUACUGGGCUAUUACUAACACUCAGAGACGAAAGCUAGGGUAGCAAAUGGG